rnacentral:rRNA from 1 species
UACGAAGGGGGCUAGCGUUGCUCGGAAUCACUGGGCUUAAAGGGCGCGUAGGCGGGCCGCCAGGUCCGGGGUGAAAGCCUCCAGCUCAACUGGAGAAGUGCCUUGGAUACCGGCGGCCUCGAGGGAGGUAGGGGCGUGCGGAACUUCGGGUGGAGCGGUGAAAUGCGUAGAUAUCCGAAGGAACACCGGUGGCGAAAGCGGCGCGCUGGAUCUCUUCUGACGCUGAGGCGCGAAAGCCAGGGGAGCAAACGGG